CCUACGGGAGGCAGCAGUGGGGGAUAUUGCACAAUGGGGGAAACCCUGAUGCAGCGACGCCGCGUGGGUGAAGAAGCGCCUCGGCGCGUAAAGCCCUGUCAGCAGGGAAGAAAAUGACGGUACCUGAAGAAGAAGCCCCGGCUAACUACGUGCCAGCAGCCGCGGUAAUACGUAGGGGGCAAGCGUUAUCCGGAUUUACUGGGUGUAAAGGGGGCGCAGACGGCGAUGCAAGCCAGGAGUGAAAGCCCGGGGCCCAACCCCGGGACUGCUCUUGGAACUGCGUGGCUAGAGUGCAGGAGGGGCAGGCGGAAUGCGUGGGGUAGCGGUGAAAUGCGUAGAUAUCAGGAGGAACACCGGUGGCGAAGGCGGCCUGCUGGACUGCGACUGACGUUGAGGCACGAAAGCGUGGGGAGCAAACAGGAUUAGAUACCCCUGUAGUC
rnacentral:rRNA from 1 species